UCCACAAAGAACAACACGUGGCGAUUCCUCAAUUCUGUUACCAUCCCCAACCUCACUCUCCUUACACCAACUACUUCCUCCUCCAUUUUCCUUUCACUCUGCCACCGCUCUUGUCGACAUGAACACGCCACUACGUAACUGUUUUCUCAACUAAAUUCGCUAAAACGACCGCGUCGCAGAAAAUGACCCUUUCCCUUUCGCCUCCUUUCUCUGUGUCCAACCCUUCACCUUUCUCCCCCACGCUCCUCAACCCAACCACCACCCUCCGCCAACUCUUCUUCGCAACCUCCCCCAAACGCUUUUUCCAGUUCCAAUCACGCGCCACCAAGUUUAAGGAGCUCAUUCCCAUAAAUCCCUCCUUGACGGUGGAGAAGGGAAAGUACAGCUACGAUGUGGAAACCCUAAUCAACCGCCUCACCGCGCUGCCGCCUCGUGGGAGCAUCGCGCGGUGCCUUGACCCCUUCAAAAACAAGCUCUCCCUCAAUGACUUCGCCCUCGUGUUCAAGGAGUUCGCGCAGCGCGGAGAUUGGCAGCGCUCGCUGCGUCUCUUCAAGUACAUGCAGCGCCAGUUGUGGUGCAAGCCCAACGAGCACAUAUACACCAUCAUGAUAACGCUCUUGGGCCGCGAAAGCUUGCUAGACAAGUGUCGCGAGGUGUUCGACGAAAUGCCAAGCAAUGGCGUCGCUCGCACCGUCUACGCUUAUACCGCCAUCAUCAACGCCUAUGGCCGUAACGGCCAGUUCCAGGCCUCGCUUGAACUCCUCGAUACAAUGAAGCAGGAGAGGGUUUCGCCGAGUAUUUUAACUUACAACACUGUGAUUAAUGCCUGUGCUAGGGGUGGGCUGGAUUGGGAGGGGUUGUUAGGAUUGUUUGCUGAAAUGAGACAUGAAGGGAUUCAACCUGAUGUUAUCACUUAUAAUACUUUGCUUUGUGCUUGUGCUAAUAGAGGGUUGGGUGAUGAGGCUGAAAUGGUGUUUAGGACCAUGAAUGAAAGUGGAAUAGUUCCUGAUAUUAAUACUUAUAGUUAUCUUGUUCAGACGUUUGGGAAGUUGAAUAGGUUAGAGAAGGUUUCGGAUCUUCUUAGGGAGAUGGAAUCUGGGGGUAAUUUGCCGGAUAUUACUUCUUAUAAUGUGUUAUUAGAGGCUUAUGCUGAAUUAGGAUCUAUCAAAGAGGCGAUGGGCGUGUUUAGGCAGAUGCAGGCUGCAGGGUGUGUGGCGAAUGCGGCCACGUAUAGUAUAUUAUUGAAUUUGUAUGGGAAGCAUGGGAGGUAUGAUGAUGUCCGUGAACUUUUUCUUGAGAUGAAAGUAAGUAACACGGAUCCUGAUGUUGGUACCUAUAACAUUCUCAUACAGGUCUUUGGGGAGGGAGGGUACUUCAAGGAGGUGGUCACUUUGUUUCAUGACAUGGUGGAGGAAAAUAUUGAGCCCAACAUGGAGACUUACGAGGGCUUGAUAUUUGCUUGUGGGAAGGGUGGGCUUUAUGAAGAUGCCAAGAAAAUUUUACUGCAUAUGAAUGAGAAAGGAAUAGUGCCGACUUCCAAGGCUUACACUGGGGUGAUUGAAGCAUUUGGGCAGGCUGCACUGUAUGAAGAGUCUCUUGUUGCAUUUAACACUAUGAAAGAAGUUGGAAGCAACCCAACCCUUGAGACCUAUAAUUCGUUUGUUCAUGCAUAUGCAAGGGGGGAUUGUACAAAGAAGCGGAAGCAAUUUUAUCCAGGAUGAAUGAAUCAGGUUUAAAACGGGAUGUGCAUUCAUUCAACGGCCUGAUUGAAGCUUUUAGGCAAGCUGGUCAGUAUGAAGAGGCUGUAAAAGCUCACGUUGAAAUGGAAAAAGCAAAUUGUGAACCUAAUGAGCUGACACUUGAAGCUGUGUUGAGUGUAUACUGCACUGCUGGGCUUGUUGACGAGAGUGAGGAGCAGUUCCAAGAAAUCAAAGCUUCAGGACUACUGCCUAGUGUCAUGAGCUACUGCAUGAUGCUAGCUCUUUAUGCAAAGAAUGACAGAUUAAAUGAUGCCUAUAAUUUAAUUGAUGAGAUGAUCAAAAUAAGGGUGUCGGAUAUUCAUCAAGUAAUUGGACAGAUGAUCAAGGGAGAUUUUGACGAUGAGUCUAAUUGGCAGAUUGUGGAAUACGUCUUUGACAAGCUCAGUUCCGAAGGGUGUGGGUUGGGGGUGAGGUUCUACAAUGCACUGUUAGAAGCUCUUUGGUGGAUGUUCCAGCGAGAAAGGGCCGCUAGAGUGCUCAAUGAAGCAUCAAAGCGAGGGCUGUUCCCUGAACUUUUUCGUAGAAGUAAACUUGUAUGGUCUGUGGACGUACACAGAAUGUCAGAAGGUGCUGCAUUAACAGCACUAUCAGUUUGGCUGAACAAUAUGCAGGAAAUGUUCUUGAAUAGCGAGGAUCUUCCUGUGAUUGCAACUGUUGUUGUUGUUCGGGGUGAGAUGGAGAAAACCACAGAUGCCCAAGAUUUCCCUGUAGCAAAGGCUGCCAUGUCAUUCUUACAGGAUAAUGUCCCAUCAUCAUCGUUUACUUUCCCUGAAUGGAACAAAGGUCGCAUUGUUUGUCAGCAGUCACAACUAAGACAAAUUCUGACUGGCACUGAAUCAUCUUCUAGUAAGAAAAAAAUGGAUAAAUUAAUAUCUUUGAGUAAUACCCCAUUGACUACUGCUGGUGCUGUAGCAUCCAAACCUGAUGGUAAAGCUAACGAUGUUGAUUCUAGAACCGAUAGUACGAGAACCGAGCUUCUAACCAGUGCAGUUUAGAUUAGAGAAUACAGAUUUUCCAUUCAUCACAUUCCCAUGCCCUGUUUAGGUCGAUUUGAAAUUAAGAUAGAUUGGGGCACGUAUUUGUUUCAGUUGCACUAUAUAUGCCCAAGUGGUCGGCUUUCAGGUCCCCAAAAUUUUGGUAUAUAUAUAUAUCUCCAGGUAUUCAUCUCAGUACUUGUCUUUCUCCACCAUGUUCUUUUACAGAAUGCAAAAAUUAAAGGCCAUCCAUCCGCAGGUUGGGUUCACAUUUUUUACUCUGCUUUGGUCUGUACUGACAACCUGGGAGUCAAAGAUGGAGUGGCCGCUGACCCUUUUUUUUCAGUUAAAAAUAAAAAUUAUUUUAGAAGAUUGAUUUUUUUUUCUUCAAUAUGUUAUGUCAUCUUAAGAAUAUAAAUAUUGUGAAUUAAUUUUUUGCUAUUAGUUAUAAAGUAA